rnacentral:snoRNA from 1 species
AUCCCAGCUAAGUUGGAUAAAGUACUUAAUCUGAUUCAUGUGAGGCCUAAACCAAAGCUGCAAGUUUCGCUGAUAAUACCUUCUUCUUUUUUACUCCCAGAAGGUGUUUUAUUAGUAACUCUGCUUACAUUU